UAGGGAAUCUUCCGCAAUGGGCGAAAGCCUGACGGAGCAACGCCGCGUGAGUGAUGAAGGUCUUCGGAUCGUAAAACUCUGUUAUUAGGGAAGAACAAAUGUGUAAGUAACUAUGCACGUCCUGACGGUACCUAAUCAGCAAGCCACGGCUAACUACGUGCCAGCAGCCGCGGUAAUAUGUAGGUGGCAAGCGUUAUCCGGAAUUAUUGGGCGUAAAGCGCGCGUAGGCGGUUUUUUAAGUCUGAUGUGAAAGCCCACGGCUCAACCGUGGAGGGUCAGUGGAGACUGGAAGAAUUGAGUACAGAAGAGGAAAGUGGAAUUCCAUGUGUAGCGGUGAAAUGCGCAGAGAUAUGGAGGAACACCAGUGGCGAAGGCAACUUUCUGGUCUGUAACUGACGCUGAUGUGCGAAAGCGUGGGGAUCAAACAGG
rnacentral:rRNA from 1 species